ensembl:lncRNA
AACACGGCGACAUCUCUGCCAGGAGCCUCUAGGUGCUGCCACAGCACAAAUAAACAAGAGCGAGUGGUGCUUGCAUUUCAUUGUUUGGGUGAGACAGCAAUCGUUAUUUUCAAGUAACCUGGUGUCCUAACAGGGCUUUAAACAAGUACUCAGCAGCAGUAUUAUUCCUCUGCACUUCUUUGGUCAACAGUUUAAUUGCAAUUAUUUGUCAAUUUAAAAAAAUAAUAAUAAAAAUUCCAUCCACUGAAUCAUAGAAUCAUAGAAUGACUUGUGUUGGAAGGGACCUGAAGGAUCAUCUAGUUCCAACCCCCUGCUACAGGCAAGGUCACUGACUGCUAGAUCGAACAGUAGAUCAGGCUGCCCAGUGCCCCAUCCAGCUUGGCCUUGAACAUCUCCACGGAUGGGGCACCCACAAUCUCUCUGGGCAGCUGUGCCGGCACCUCACCACUCUCUCUGUGGAAAAAUUCCCCCAGAUCUCUCUUUUAAACUAUUUCCCUUGUCCUAUCACUAUCUAUCACACUGAUUUCCAUUCCAAAAUGAGAAACUACUUAAAUGCAUGCCCUGUGGAAGUGUCAGUAUAUUUUCUAAGAGCUGUGUAAAAGCUAAUAAAGAAGUUUAAUAUGCAGCCUAGAUUUGAAGGUAUUAUGACUUAUUUCCCCCCUCCCUAGCUCUGUAUUUACACAGAUCUGGUUCUCUCUAAUUCUGACAGGGAGUCUCAAAUGUUGAUCAGCUACGGAUAGGAAGUGUUGAGGAUGGGUGACUCAUAGCACCAGAUUUUCCAGCCUGACUCCCUGAGAUUCACAGUGCCUUGCUCCGUGCCCAGCACGUUAACUUCCAGAAGGUGCUCCAUCACGAGCUGGAAGAUUCACGUGGGAAAAGCCUGUUUCUUCCACCCGCCUUGCAGUGACAGCUGCUCCCCAUCGUUGUUAUUAUUUAUGUCUCGGGGGAUGAGGGGUGCCUUGUUUCUAAUUUGAAUUCAUCUGCCUCCUGGUUAAAGCCCCUCUCUGUGAGAUUUAAGAGUCCUUUAUUGCCUGCUGGGAAGAUGAGUAUAAAUUUGGCCUUGAAUAGAAAUGAACUUCAGCAGCGACUGAAGUGCUGCCCCAGGUGGGGGCUGAGAUUCCUCCCCUCCAUGUCACAGCUCCGUGUGUGAAGGCAUGAGGAGUUUGAUCGGCAGCUGAGGCCAUGGACUGACCCCGCAAAGGUCGGCAGGAUAGAAACCUCAUUUCAUAAUAUUGACUUAUGAGAAGGCUGCUUAGAUCUCCUCUGUCUGACAAUACUAGAUGAAAUUAAUCUUGCAAUUACAUACAUUAAAAAAAAAAAAAAAAUCUUCUCUCACCCUUCACUCCCAAACUUAGACAAACCUGCUGUAACUCCUCUCUUCAUCAGCCCAACUGCAAUGUGUCCAAGCAGAAAAUAAAUGCUGUUGUUAUUUAAAAUUCCUGGCACCAGCUUCCAAAAUGCUGACAAGUCACUAAUACCAAGCAAAUGUAUGCUGGUUAAUUAGAAGCGAAGAAUGCCGAAGCCAUCCAGUAGAGUGCAAUCAACAAGAUUCGCCGGAUGAACACCUUGUUCCUCACUGCUAAGGAGACAGGUUGCUCUCCAACCCCUCCUCCUCCUCUUGGCAGCGAUCAGCACAAAAUAAAGCAAAUGAACGAAUGAGGCUUCAGCCCCAGAGAUAAAUACCUCACCUUUCAGAGCCCCGUGGAGACGAGAGCCCCGCUGUGGUGUGCCCGGAGCCUUGGCUGCCACCCAUCACUGAGGUCCUCUGUACAUGGCAACAGGAAAAUCGAUAUGAUUUCCAGGCACGUUUGCAAUCUGGAUUUAAAUGGUGUCCACUAGAAUGUUUCACACAUAUCGUUAUAGAAUGAUAAGAUAUUGGUACAGCCUGAAAAUAAACCAUCAUCGACAAGAGUUUUAUACAUUUGGCAGAGGAGUUCCAGGAAUAAAUAGAUAAAGAAUUAAAAAUAAUGAGCACUGUGUAAAAAUUAAUGCUUUUCACAUGGUCAUUUCAGUACAAUAUGUUAUAGAUCAGAUUAUCUGGAAAGCUCCCAUUCCCAUCUAAUAAAGAAACUCAUAAACUUAAAGAGCAACCAGCCUGUUUCAGAUGGCUCUCAGGUCUGUAAAGUUUUGAAAGUUCAAAGUCAGACAGAGAUCCCAGUCCUGUCCCUGAUGGGCUGAUGAUUGGGCUAGAUGAUCUUAGUCAUCUUUUCCAACCUACAUGAUUCUGUGAUUUCCUUCUGCACUCCAGUUACAAGAUAAAGGACCUCAAAA